rnacentral:rRNA from 1 species
GACGUAGGGCGCGAGCGUUGUCCGGAUUUAUUGGGCGUAAAGAGCUCGUAGGCGGCUCGUUGCGUCGGCUGUGAAAACCCGCAGCUCAACUGUGGGCUUGCAGCUGAUACGGGCGGGCUGGGAUUCGGUAGGGGAGACUGGAAUUCCUGGUGUAGCGGUGAAAUGCGCAGAUAUCAGGAGGAACACCGGUGGCGAAGGCGGGUCGCUGGGCCGAUAUCGACGCUGAGGAGCGAAAGCGUGGGGAGCGAACAGG